rnacentral:rRNA from 1 species
UACGAAGGGUGCAAGCGUUAGUCGGAAUUACUGGGCGUAAAGCGUGCGUAGGUGGUUUCUUAAGUCCGUUGUGAAAGCCCUGGGCUCAACCUGGGAACUGCAGUGGAUACUGAGAGGCUAGAGUGUGUCAGAGGAUGGUGGAAUUCCCGGUGUAGCGGUGAAAUGCGUAGAGAUCGGGAGGAACAUCAGUGGCGAAGGCGGCCAUCUGGGACAACACUGACGCUGAGGCACGAAAGCUAGGGGAGCGAACUGG